rnacentral:rRNA from 1 species
AUUGAACGCUGGCGGCAGGCCUAACACAUGCAAGUCGAGCGAGCGGCGGACGGGUGAGUAAUGUAUGGGGACUGCCCGAUAGAGGGGGAUAACUACUGGAAACGGUAACUAAUACCGCAUACUAUCGGAUAACCCAUAUGGGAUUAGCUAGUAGGUGAGGUAAUGGCUCACCUAGGCGACGAUCCCUAGCUGGACUGAGAUGAUGAUCAGCCACACUGAGAGUGAGACCCGGCCCAGGCGCCGGGGGAGGCGGCAGUAGGGAAAAUUGCGCAAUGGGCGCGAGCCUGAUGCAACCAUACCGAGUGUAUGAAGAAGGACCUAGGGUUGUAAAAUACAUUCAGUCGGGAGGCGUUACCAACAGAAGAAGCGCCGGCUAACUCCGUGCCAGCAGCCGCGGUAAUUC